rnacentral:rRNA from 1 species
AACGAACGCUGGCGGCGUGGAUUAGGCAUGCAAGUCGUACGCGAAAGUGGUAGCAAUACUACGAGUAGAGUGGCGAACUGGUGAGUACAAGGUGACUAACCUGCCCUUGAGUGGGGGAUAACCCGCCGAAAGGCGGGCUAAUACCGCAUGGUCUCUCUGGCUUACGGGCUGGCGAGUAAAGCAGUGAUGCGCUUAAGGAUGGGGUCACCUCCCAUUAGCUAGUUGGUGCGGUAAUGGCGCACCAAGGCUUCGAUGGGUAGCUGGUCUGAGAGGAUGGUCAGCCACACUGGGACUGAGAUACGGCCCAGACUCCUACGGGGGGCAGCAGUCUAGAGGCUUCGUCAAUGCCCGCAAGGGUGAACGAGCGACGCCGCGUGCGGGAAGAAGGGGCUUCGGCUUGUAAACCGCUUUUAUCUGGGAAGAAUAUCCUGGUCGUGAACCAGGAGGGGACGGUACCAGAGGAAUAAGCCCCGGCUAACUCCGUGCCAGCAGCCGCGGUAAGACGGGA